rnacentral:lncRNA from 1 species
AUUGCUCCUUAUAUCCCUCCUAAAGGUUGCGGAAAUUUCAAGUAAAAAUUUUCACUUUGGGCUUUCUUUUUUGUAGGAUGGCCCAGUCAUCACAAGACUUCUAACAUUUAUCCCAUUAGUUUGGCACAUCAUCUUCAGAUAACCUUCAACUUAAAUGAUGUCCCGGUUACUGUGCAGGAAAAGUCCUGCGGGGAAGGCCCUUAGUACUUUACCAAUCAGCACACUACAGGACCAUGGGCUUUAAAAGUGUGCCUGUUCCUUUAUCCUGUACCAGUACAUGGCCAAGCACGCAGGGAACUGCACAAGAGGCUACUGCAGAAAUGGUGGUAAAAAAAAAUCCACAAAUACGACAAAAAGAACAGCUGGAGGAGGUGUGCAUGGAUCGGGAAGUCUGGGCAUCUCUGCUGAGACUGCUGCCUCCACGACCCGGCCCCGGAUAAAGCGGAAGAAAAUGGAUGGAUGGACGACAAAAAUAAAACUUUCUACAGAAAAUCAACAUCAUUUAGUGGAGCUUCAAACAUACAUAUAUGCAGAGAGUCAUUCACAAUAAAGGCCUGCAACUAACCAUUUCUGUCUGUCUGCUACACAGCAACUCCAGGAAUGAUUGAGACUUGGAUCUAUUGCUGAAAUAGAACCUGAAGAUGUG